UAGAGUUUGAUCCUGGCUCAGGAUGAACGCUGGCGGCGUGCUUAACACAUGCAAGUCGAACGAACCUUCGGGUUAGUGGCGGACGGGUGAGUAACGCGUGGGAAUCUGCCCUCAGGAGGGGGAUAACGGCUGGAAACGGCCGCUAAUACCCCAUAUGCCGAGAGGCGAAAUGAAUUUCGCCUGAGGAUGAGCCCGCGUCUGAUUAGCUAGUUGGUGGGGUAAAGGCCUACCAAGGCAUCGAUCAGUAGCUGGUCUGAGAGGAUGAUCAGCCACACUGGGACUGAGACACGGCCCAGACUCCUACGGGAGGCAGCAGUGGGGAAUUUUCCGCAAUGGGCGAAAGCCUGACGGAGCAACGCCGCGUGAGGGAUGAAGGCCUCUGGGCUGUAAACCUCUUUUCUCAAGGAGGAAGACCUGACGGUACUUGAGGAAUAAGCCACGGCUAAUUCCGUGCCAGCAGCCGCGGUAAUACGGGAGUGGCAAGCGUUAUCCGGAAUUAUUGGGCGUAAAGCGUCCGCAGGCGGCCUUGUAAGUCUGUUGUUAAAGCGUGGAGCUCAACUCCAUUUGAGCAGUGGAAACUACAUGGCUUGAGUGUGGU
rnacentral:rRNA from 1 species